CGCGUAGGCGGUCGGCAAAGUUAGGGGUGAAAUCUUUCGGCUUAACCGGAAAAGUGCCUUUAAAACUAGUCGACUCGAGGGAGAUAGGGGCAAUUGGAACUUCCGGUGGAGCGGUGAAAUGCGUUGAUAUCGGAAGGAACGCCGGUGGCGAAAGCGAAUUGCUGGAUCUCUUCUGACGCUGAGGCGCGAAAGCUAGGGGAGCAAACGGGAUUAGAUACCCCGGUAGUCCUAGCCCUAAACGAUGAGUACUAGGUUGUGGACUUGACAUGGGUUCACAGCCGAAGCAAAAGUGCUAAGUACUCCGCCUGGGGAGUAUGGUCGCAAGGCUGAA
rnacentral:rRNA from 1 species